rnacentral:rRNA from 1 species
UGGGGAAUAUUGCACAAUGGGCGCAAGCCUGAUGCAGCCAUGCCGCGUGUAUGAAGAAGGCCUUCGGGUUGUAAAGUACUUUCAGUCGGGAGGAAGGUGUCAAGGUUAAUAACCUUGGCAAUUGACGUUACCGACAGAAGAAGCACCGGCUAACUCCGUGCCAGCAGCCGCGGUAAUACGGAGGGUGCAAGCGUUAUUCGGAAUUACUGGGCGUAAAGCGCACGCAGGCGGUUGAUUGAGUCAGAUGUGAAAUCCCCGGGCUUAACCCGGGAAUUGCAUCUGAUACUGGUCAGCUAGAGUCUUGUAGAGGGGGGUAGAAUUCCAUGUGUAGCGGUGAAAUGCGUAGAGAUGUGGAGGAAUACCGGUGGCGAAGGCGGCCCCCUGGACAAAGACUGACGCUCAGGUGCGAAAGCGUGGGGAGCAAACAGG